rnacentral:tRNA from 1 species
GGGCCGGUAGCUCAGUUGGUAGAGCGCCGCAUUCGCAUUGCGGAGGUCGCCGGUUCGAAUCCGGCUCGGUCCA